GGGAGUGUGGCUCAGUGGUAGUGUUUGCCUAUCAUGUGCAAGGCCCUGGGUUCCAUCCUCAGCACCACCC
rnacentral:tRNA from 1 species